rnacentral:rRNA from 2 species
CGAGCGAACGGACGAGAAGCUUGCUUCUCUGAUGUUAGCGGCGGACGGGUGAGUAACACGUGGAUAACCUACCUAUAAGACUGGGAUAACUUCGGGAAACCGGAGCUAAUACCGGAUAAUAUUUUGAACCGCAUGGUUCAAAAGUGAAAGACGGUCUUGCUGUCACUUAUAGAUGGAUCCGCGCUGCAUUAGCUAGUUGGUAAGGUAACGGCUUACCAAGGCAACGAUGCAUAGCCGACCUGAGAGGGUGAUCGGCCACACUGGAACUGAGACACGGUCCAGACUCCUACGGGAGGCAGCAGUAGGGAAUCUUCCGCAAUGGGCGAAAGCCUGACGGAGCAACGCCGCGUGAGUGAUGAAGGUCUUCGGAUCGUAAAACUCUGUUAUUAGGGAAGAACAUAUGUGUAAGUAACUGUGCACAUCUUGACGGUACCUAAUCAGAAAGCCACGGCUAACUACGUGCCAGCAGCCGCGGUAAUACGUAGGUGGCAAGCGUUAUCCGGAAUUAUUGGGCGUAAAGCGCGCGUAGGCGGUUUUUUAAGUCUGAUGUGAAAGCCCACGGCUCAACCGUGGAGGGUCAUUGGAAACUGGAAAACUUGAGUGCAGAAGAGGAAAGUGGAAUUCCAUGUGUAGCGGUGAAAUGCGCAGAGAUAUGGAGGAACACCAGUGGCGAAGGCGACUUUCUGGUCUGUAACUGACGCUGAUGUGCGAAAGCGUGGGGAUCAAACAGG